UUUAGCGAGCAUCCCUGAGCAAAGAGAGCUUUAGUUCAGCCCCCCGAAACUAGACGAGCUACUUCAAGACAGCCUGUUGGGCGAACGCCUGUAGGGCACACCCGUCUCUGUCGCAAAAGAGUGGGAGGAUCUUCAAGUAGAGGUGACAAACCUAUCGAGCCUAGUUAUAGCUGGUUGUCUAAGAAGUGAACCUGAGUUCAGCCUCCCGCCUCCCCAUAUCAACGACAUUUAUGUCUACUCAGAUUAAAGGUAACCGAGAGAGUUAGUCAAAGAGGGUACAGCCCCUUUGAUAAAGGACACAACCUCCCGAGGAGACCAAAGAUCAUAUAUUAUUUAAGGAUACUCAUUAUAGUAGGCCUAAAAGCAGCCACCUAAGAAGAAAGCGUUAUAGCUCAUAUGAACUUUGUCCCCUAAUACCGAAACCCGCUCUUCACUCCCCCACCCACUAUUAGACCGUCCCACAAACCCUGGGAAAGACCCUGCUAAUAUGAGUAAUAAGAGGGAAUACCCCUCUCCCCCCACAUGUGUGUAAGUCGGAACGGACCUGCCCCCGACAAAUACCGAUCCCCCAAAGAGGGUAAUAUUAUACUGCACAAAUAGCUAGAAACCCUAAUAUUCUUAAUCGUUAACCCAACACAGGUGUGUACCCUCGGAAAGACUUAAACAAAGGGAAGGAACUCGGCAAACACAAGCCUCGCCUGUUUACCAAAAACACCGCCUCUUGCAAACGAACGAAUAAGAGGUCCCGCCUGCCCAGUGACUAUAUGUUAAACGGCCGCGGUAUUUUGACCGUGCAAAGGUAGCGUAAUAAUUUGUCUCUUAAAUGGGGACUAGUAUGAAUGGCGUCACGAGGGCUUAGCUGUCUCCCCUUUAAAGUCAAUGAAAUUGAUCUCCCCGUGCAGAAGCGGGGAUACGCUCGUAAGACGAGAAGACCCUAUGAAGCUUAAGACUCAAAGCAACCCACAUCAAAUACCCCCUAAAGGAUACUCAACAGGGUGGUCCUUGCUUACAUGUCUUCGGUUGGGGCGACCACGGGGAAAGACAAAACCCCCACAUGGACUGGGGCCACUCACCCUAAAACAUAGACCCACAGGUCAAGUCAACAGUACUUCUGACCACCAAUGACCCGGCAUAAGCCGAUCAAUGAACCGAGUUACUCUAGGGAUAACAGCGCAAUCCUCUCCGACAGCCCUUAUCGACGAGGGGGUUUACGACCUCGAUGUUGGAUCAGGACAUCCUAAUGGUGCAGCCGCUAUUAAGG
rnacentral:rRNA from 1 species